rnacentral:rRNA from 1 species
UACGUAGGGGGCUAGCGUUGUCCGGAAUCAUUGGGCGUAAAGAGCGUGUAGGCGGCCCGGUAAGUCCGCUGUGAAAGUCGGGGGCUCAACCCUCGAAUGCCGGUGGAUACUGUCGGGUUAGAGUGCGGAAGAGGCGAGUGGAAUUCCUGGUGUAGCGGUGAAAUGCGCAGAUAUCAGGAGGAACACCAAUUGCGAAGGCAGCUCGCUGGGACGCAACUGACGCUGAGACGCGAAAGCGUGGGGAGCAAACAGG